rnacentral:rRNA from 1 species
GGCUCAGGACUAACGCCGGCGGCGUGCCUAAUGCAUGCAAGUCGAACGGCCUUCAGGCCGCAAGGCCAAAAAGAGAGUGGCGAACGGCUGAGUAACACGUAAGCAACCUACCCUUGAUUGGGGAAUAACGCCGAGAAAUCGGCGCUAAUACCGCAUAAUACAGUCUUCCGCGAGGAAGAUUGUCAAAGCCGCAAGGCGAUGAAGGAGGGGCUUGCGUCCUAUCAGGUAGUUGGUGUGGUAACGGCUCACCAAGCCGAUGACGGGUAGCUGGUCUGAGAGGACGACCAGCCAGAAGGGGACUGCGACACGGCCCCUACUCCUACGGGAGGCAGCAGCAGGGAAUAUUGCGCAAUGGACGAAAGUCUGACGCAGCGACGCCGCGUGAGGGAUGAAGGCCUUCGGGUCGUAAACCUCUUUUUCUGGGGACGAGUAAGGACGGUACCCAGAGAAUAAGCCACGGCUAACUACGUGCCAGCAGCCGCGGUAAUACGUAGGUGGCUAGCGUUGUCCGGAUUUACUGGGCGUAAAGGGUGUGUAGGCGGCAGGGUAAGUCUCGGGUUAAAUCUCUCGGCUAAACUGAGAGGCGUCCUGGGAUACUAUCCAGCUAGAGGGAAGCAGAGGAGAGUGGAAUUCCCGGUGUAGUGGUGAAAUGCGUAGAUACCGGGAGGAACACCAGUGGCGAAGGCGACUCUCUGGGCUUCUCCUGACGCUGAGGCACGAAAGCGUGGGUAGCAAACCGGAUUAGAUACCCGGGUAGUCCACGCCCUAAACAAUGAACACUAGGUAUGGGGGGUAUCGACCCCCUCUGUGCCGUAGCUAACGCGUUAAGUG